rnacentral:rRNA from 1 species
UACGGAGGGUGCAAGCGUUAUCCGGAUUCACUGGGCUUAAAGGGUGCGUAGGCGGGCAGGUAAGUCAGUGGUGAAAUCUCUGAGCUUAACUCAGAAACUGCCAUGGAUACUAUUUGUCUUGAAUGUUGUGGAGGUAAGCGGAAUAUGUCAUGUAGCGGUGAAAUGCUUAGAUAUGACAUAGAACACCAAUUGCGAAGGCAGCUUACUACACAAAUAUUGACGCUGAGGCACGAAAGCGUGGGGAGCAAACAGG